CACGUAGGGGGCGAGCGUUGUCCGGAUUUAUUGGGCGUAAAGAGCUCGUAGGCGGCUCAGCAAGUCAGGUGUGAAAACUCCAGGCUCAACCUGGAGACGCCACCUGAUACUGCUGUGGCUAGAGUCCGGUAGGGGAGCAUGGAAUUCCUGGUGUAGCGGUGAAAUGCGCAGAUAUCAGGAGGAACACCAGGGGCGAAGGCGGUGCUCUGGGCCGGAACUGACGCUGAGGAGCGAAAGCGUGGGGAGCAAACAGG
rnacentral:rRNA from 1 species